rnacentral:rRNA from 1 species
AGGUAGCAUAAUCACUUGCUUCUUAAUUAGGAGCUGGUAUGAAAGAGACGCCGAAAUCUAGUCUAUCAAAGUGUAGUUAUAAGUUGACAUCCAGGUUAAAAGGCCCGAAUAAACCAGGGGGACGACAAGACCCUAUAAAACUUCACCAUUUGGGAGAAAUCUGACAGAGUAUUUUCUACCUGAGGGUUUUACUGGGGCGGUAUUAUAUAUAAACAAUAUGGUGUCUAAUAUAUUAAAUAAUAUAACAGAACUCUUUUAGAAAUAGAACAAGUUACUUUAGGGAUAACAGCGUAAUUUCCCCAGAGAGUUCUUAUCGGCGGGGUAGCUUACGACCUCGAUGUUGAAUUGGGGCCUCUUCUAUAAGCAGAUAUAUGGAAAGACAGUCUGUUCGACUAUUAAACCCCC